AAAAAAAAAAAAAAAGACGACGUCAACUUCCCAAGGUUUUUCAGUGUCAAGAAAGAGGAGUUUGAAGGGGAUUUACGCUGCAGAUUACGGACACUGAAGACUAUUAGCAGAAAGUUCAAGUCUGGGUGGCCAAAAGUUACAUUUCAGUGAUCUGGUUACCGCCUCUCUCUGCAAACACAAAGGAUCACUUUCCUCAGCGGAUCUACCCCAAUCAUCAUUAACGGGACCACAGUGGAGAGAGUGAGCAUCUUCAAAUACCUUCAAAUGCCCUGCAAAGAGUAGCUGAGCACAUGUCCAGAACAUGGACAAUGGACAAUCAACCAAACCUACAGACAACUAUUAUUAUUACAAUAUUUACACAAUUAUCAAUACUUUGUUGACCAAUUACCAAGCAAUGCUUAAUUUUGUUCAGACUGUGAUGUGAAAAGGUUGCAUUAGCAAUUCAGAAAAAAACACAUAAGCAAUACAUGGUGCUUUAUAAGGUGCGGAAUAAUUUUUGGUCCCUAUUUUAUAUAUAUAUAUAACGGACGGACGGACGGACAGAUAAAAAAAAUGUUAUCAAUUUCACCAGUAGUUCACUGUAUGAAGAUGCUUUGGGUAUAAUAUGUCACAGUUUGCCUAAUUUUGCUAUACUCACAUAUAUGUAUUCUAGUGUCCUGUACAUAUUAGUAAAAUAAAACCUGGUGUCUGGAUAGUUUUUGGUCUGACUGUGCAUUAAUUCAUGUUAAAACUACCAAGUAAUUCAGUCAAGAGCAGUGAGUGUUUUUCUUUAAUUUUCUUGGAUUAACAUUACAGCAGAUAGUAGCUUAAUUAGGCACGGUCACUUUAAGAGACGAUGAACGCCAAAAUAUUUUUUUUCCUCAACUGUUUACUUUCACUUAAGAAAUAACUGACAUUUUUUUCUAGCAUACUUUCCAAGGCGGGUAUUUUGACAUAGUUUGUAUGUAUUUGUUGGCACAAGAGCAAAAAAAGCAAAUUCGGUGUUCAAGCGUUUUGAGAGACGCCUCUCUCUGCGUGAGCCCCAAACACCAGAACACUGCGGUACUGAACUUUUUGUUUGUUCAAAUUGCGAUUUGUAUUUGCUCGUUCAGGUGCAGAAGGGACUUUGAGGAGAACUCAGAAGAGAGAUCGGUUCAGUGCUACUCUCCAUGAUACACAGCUCUCUCUCUCUUGCGCACCGAACACAUAAUGCGAGUAACCAGCUACUCUGUUCAGCUUUUCAGCAUCUUGUGUUUGGAUGCUUUAAUUUUUAAAUCGACAAGCGAUAAGGCU